rnacentral:rRNA from 1 species
UGGGGAAUUUUGGACAAUGGGGGAAACCCUGAUCCAGCCAUCCCGCGUGUGCGAUGAAGGCCUUCGGGUUGUAAAGCACUUUUGGCAGGAAAGAAACGUCGCGGGUUAAUACCCCGCGAAACUGACGGUACCUGCAGAAUAAGCACCGGCUAACUACGUGCCAGCAGCCGCGGUAAUACGUAGGGUGCAAGCGUUAAUCGGAAUUACUGGGCGUAAAGCGUGCGCAGGCGGUUCGGAAAGAAAGAUGUGAAAUCCCAGAGCUUAACUUUGGAACUGCAUUUUAACUACCGGGCUAGAGUGUGUCAGAGGGAGGUGGAAUUCCGCGUGUAGCAGUGAAAUGCGUAGAUAUGCGGAGGAACACCGAUGGCGAAGGCAGCCUCCUGGGAUAACACUGACGCUCAUGCACGAAAGCGUGGGGAGCAAACAGGAUUAGAUACCCUGGUAGUCCACGCCCUAAACGAUGUCAACUAGCUGUUGGGGCCUUCGGGCCUUGGUAGCGUAGCUAACGCGUGAAGUUGACCGCCU